CAUGUUUUUUUUUUAUAACUGAUACUUUAUUUGUUUUGGAAAUAUUUUUCAUGCGCUUUAUGCCUUUAUCUAUAAGUGGCAAAUCAUGAUUAUAAAAUGUCACCGUUGUUGUUUGUGACGGUUUGGAGUGCCAGCUAAAAAAAGGAAAUGGUUUGACAGAGAAAAUAGUAAUUGUGGAAAUGUCUGCACGGCAAGAGCGGCGGAUACAACGACGGCAUACACGUUAUAAAAGAAUAAGGGUGCAAUGAUACAAAAUUUAACGACACACACGGGCCGAGAGUUUACGGCAACGUCUCGACGAUGUCGUACGAGACCAGCGAACGAGAGUAAGUUAACAGCGGUGGUCAAAGUCAAAGGCGCCGAUGCCACAUAUACAAGAGAGGAGGAGGGCGACGAUAAAGUCAGCGAGCUUAUCGCACACAAACAGUAAUUAUUUAGUAUAUCUUGAACACGACUAAUAUUUAAUAUUAAAAAAUGACCAUAGAUUCCUUCUAGUUAAGUUUGGUUUCAGAAUAUUUAGCUAUUUC